rnacentral:misc_RNA from 1 species
UGCACCGACACAAUCAGCUGCACAUAUCUUGUUGUGUGCGCGCGUGUGCGUAUCUAGAGAAGUAGCACUCAGAAGACACUACUCGAGUAGCUCGAGUGCUUCUGCCUUAUUUUCCCAUCAUCGAUACUGCACCCCCCCCCCCCCCACAACCUCGACUCUUUCCCUUCUUUCCCGCUCCUCGCCCGUUGUGGGGACCUCUUCUCGCCUUGUCUAGCCUCUGUAUAGUAUUAGAUUUCAUCCUAGCUGCGAAGCCUUCCUCUCCCCGCCUUCUACCGCCCACCUCGUACCUCGCUGUCGCCGCUCUCCCUCCAAAUCCAUAUCGCAACAUUCGAAGGCAAAACGAAAAGCGUGAGAGGGAGGAGUGCGUCCCUCUUUCACUCGCACAUAUACCCACGCAAGCAUUGGAGACGGCUGUAUAGUGCACCCUAGUCUUUUUCUCUCGUUCUUGUGAAUCGCUUUUUUUUUAUCGUGCGAGGGUGUGUGUGUGUGCGUGGGUUACACAUGUGUGUAUUCUGCUGCUUUUCGAACACAGUCGUUGGUUGCCAUUUCCUGGCAGCACAUCUCUGGGGCACCACUCACUAACCAGGAAAAGGAGACGAAGAUCGUCGCGCUUGGAGUCGCGUCCCUGUCUAUCUCUCCCUCCUACUAUCCCUCCGUGUGUGUGUGUGUGUGUGCGUGUACUGCUGCUUUCCGUAGCACAGCUUUUUUUUUUCGUAUUUGCUUGCUUGCUUCUAGUUUUCUUUCUCAACACCUUUGCCACCGUCAUGCUGCGUCGCACUCUCCGUCGACUGAUGCCGAGCGACGCCAUCGGCAGCGUGCAUCCGGAUGUGCUGUGGGGUUAUCAGCAAGGCCAGUACGCGGGACCGGGCUGGGCCAACCUCAUCAAAUCGCUUCCGCUCGAGACGCUCGCGAUGCAGGGUGGUAGCACCAUGGCGAACCUGAACGAUCGCACCGGCACCUUUCUGGACCCCGAGGACCCGCGCCACCCGCUCGCCCUCAUGCAGUUUGGCAUCAUGGGCAAAAUGGACGGCACGUUUCAUCAGCUCGCCUACGGUGACUUUGGCCGCGUACCGAAGGGGUCUCGUCUGAUGCAGGUGCUCUACGAGAACUACCUCGAACCCUUCUCCAUGAAUCGUGUGUGCGCGCAGCUCUACUUUUACCAGAAGGUGCCGAACAACUACCACGCCUCCGUGGACGCGACAGCCGAGUACGUGGGACAGACGGCUUCUCUCGUUGGACAGGUGGUUAUCGGUCUUGGUGCCUGCAUUAUGGAGGGGGUCACGAUUCGGGCAGACACGAACUGUGUCUACAUCGCUGAAGGCGUGCAGAUCUUGGAAAACACCUGCAUCAUGAGCGACGCGCCGACGGAUCUGCUGGCGUACCAGCGUCAUGAGCUGCUUAACCCGUACCAGCAAUGGGACGGUAUGGAUGGCGUCACACGCAUCAUGCCAAACACAAUUAUCGAGUCGAACUGCUACCUCGAUGGCUGCUCCAUCGGCUCCUUCAACCGCAUUGGCCACAACACCAAGAUCAUGAAAGGCGUGACAACGGGGAUCAUGGUGCACAUCAUGCCUGGCAGCGUGGUGACGGCUGAUACCAAGAUCGGCGACGGCGAACUCUGGGGCGGCGCACCGGCUCGCAAGAUCGGUGAGGUCAGCAAGUUUGAGUACAAGCGGCCAUACUACGCAUCAUUGCUACAUCGCGAGAGCGUCGCGGAGUCGUAUCGCAACAUGUCCCGCUACGGCGACCAGUUCGUGCAUUACAGGAACGCGAUGGGCCAGCUGGAGACGCUCAUGAUUCAUUACGAGGACCACAUUACCCCAGGCAUCAAGGCCAAGGUGCGCGACUUUGAAGAGGGCCGGGAGCCGUUUCACCACACAAUUACCCGCAUCGCGCAAGGGUGGUCGCCGGCGAACCGCCCUGAUGACAAGAACUUCGCCAUGGCCCCACCUGCUCCGGGUGUGAAGCUGUUCGCUGAGCACAAUACAGACUCGUCACCGAGCGAGUGGAACGGCUCGUACGCCAACAUCACGAACAUCUUCAACGACUUCCGCUGGUAGAUGCAGCAUAAAGCCAAAAGGAAUGAACCAACCAGCGAAGUGGAGCGCAGAGAUGAAAAGCUGCUGCGCGUGCCAGCACUGGAUCUUCGGCUGCGUCGUCUGCUCAGACUCGUUCUCGGGAGUGCAGACUCUACUUGCACUCUCUGUCUCUCUCUCCGCUUCCUUGUGUAGUCGCACCUUGCCUUUCUCCUCGUAAGGUUGUUGACGCGCCGCAGUUUUUUUUUUCGUUUUUAGUGUUGUUUUGCUUUGCUAGCCGCCGCCCCCUCCCCCCCCCCCACGUCCCUCGGCGCCUCUUCUCUUUCUCUCCCCUGCCCUCCCGCUAGCGUUCGUGUUGUCCUCUUCUUGUGAGUUGGUAAGUGUGUAGAUGUAUCCAUGGGUGCCUUUCACUUGGUUGCUCGCCCUCCUCGCCUUGCUAUCCUGCAGCGCACGGGUGCCCAUGCGCGUGCUAGCCAGCUCUCCCCCUUUUGCAACCGUGAAGUCGACGCAUUUGCCAUAGUUUCUUAUCUCGUUGGCUUCUCUUGUUCGGAGCUCUUCUGUUUCUCUGUUGCCCGAGGCGCGCUUUUCUAUGACGUUGAAGUCGCUCCCUCUCCCUCUGUUUCUCUGCAGCCUUUCGCUCGGUACUUCUCUCGUCCUUUUCGUCACCCCAUGCCUCCCUCCGCGUUUGGUGGUGUGCGCAUUUUGCCUUCGGGGUGCGUCUCUCAUGUCACGGUGAGGGUGGGGUGGGGGUGACCACACGUGUGAUACGAAGGGGCGGCGAGGGAUGGAGGAGUGAGACGAAGAGGAACAGAGAGACACGUCAAUUGCCCAUCCUGCACAAACGAAAGAGAAAUCAAAGCAGGAAGAUUUGAAGGAAAGAGAGAGGGGGAAGGCGGUACAUCAGGGAUGGACUAGGAUGCACGUACCUCCACCUCGUGCAUCCUGUUUGUUGCCCACCAAACGUGCGAAGCGAUGCUUGCGUCACUCGGCCAUGCGUUCGAAGGUUCCGCUGCGGGCACCGUGAACAGCAACGGUAGCAAAGAGUAUUACCAGGAAGCCUCUGGGCCGUCCUCGUGGUCCUCGCGACUCUGUGCUAUUUUCCUCGCUCUCUAUCUCUCGAGCUUCUCUUUCGCGAGAACGGAUAUGCUGCAUGCUCGUGGCUGUACCUCUUAUUCAUCUCCGCAUUAUGUUCAUCGCAUGGACCUCUCGUACUCCUCUCACUCUUUCUUCCGUACUUGUUUUUCAUCUUCGGCUAUUUUUUCUUGUUUUUCGGCCUUUGCGUGUCCCUCGCCUCCCUUCCCGCUUCUCACCGGGGCGCGAGCACCGCAACGUGGAGUGGCCAAACCCCUUCUUCUCGAGCUUCUAUCUUGCCCUGCGCAG